rnacentral:tRNA from 1 species
GCGCCUGUGGCGAAAUUGGUAGACGCGCUGUCUUGAGGGGGCAGUGAGGAAACUCGUGCCAGUUCGAGUCUGGCCAGGCGCACCA